UACGUAGGGGCCUAGCGUUGUCCGGAUUUAUUGGGCGUAAAGAGCUUGUAGGCGGUUUGUCGCGUCUGCUGUGAAAAUCCGGGGCUCAACCCCGGACUUGCAGUGGGUACGGGCAGACUAGAGUGUGGUAGGGGAGACUGGAAUUCCUGGUGUAGCGGUGAAAUGCGCAGAUAUCAGGAGAACACCGAUGGCGAAGGCAGGUCUCUGGGCCACUACUGACGCUGAGAAGCGAAAGCAUGGGGAGCGAACAGG
rnacentral:rRNA from 1 species